rnacentral:tRNA from 1 species
CAAUCCAUAAUUAUCAAUCAGGUAAAUCGACUCAUAAUCGAUUGGUCUUAGGUUCAAGUCCUACUGGGCCUACCA